rnacentral:rRNA from 1 species
GACGAACGCUGGCGGCGUGCUUAACACAUGCAAGUCGAGCGGUAAGGCCCUUUCGGGGGUACACGAGCGGCGAACGGGUGAGUAACACGUGGGUGACCUGCCCUCAGCUCUGGGAUAAGCCUGGGAAACCGGGUCUAAUACUGGAUAUGACUCCAUGACGCAUGUUGUGGGGUGGAAGCCUUGUGCGGCUGAGGAUGGGCCCGCGGCCUAUCAGCUUGUUGGUGGGGUGANGGCCUACCAAGGCGACGACGGGUAGCCGGCCUGAGAGGGCGACCGGCCACACUGGGACUGAGACACGGCCCAGACUCCUACGGGAGGCAGCAGUGGGGAAUCUUGCGCAAUGGGCGAAAGCCUGACGCAGCGACGCCGCGUGAGGGAUGACGGCCU